GGUAGAGGACAAGUUCUCUAAAUUGUUGGAAUCAACUGAGUUGUACAUUGAAAUAACUAAGCAAGGAUUUUUUAUUAAAGCAUUAAAUUGUGGGAAAAACUUUAAUGAUCAAAAGGAGAUUGGUACAGGUACCGAGGAGCAAGCUGCCAAUUACUCGUGCCCAAUGGAGGAAAAAGCACAUUCUGAUCCUGAAAUUCCCACAAAACCAUUUGCUACCCAUGCUUAUAUACCACACGAACUUUUCCCAUAAUGUUUGCUUUGGUCGAAUCAAGAGGCUGCAAAGAAACCAACCAAGCUGCUGGAAUUCAUCACAACUAAUGUGUUGCAAGGGGUUGUUCAUAACAAAUCAGAAUCUGGAAAUUCACAUGACAGUGCACAUACACAGCCCAUCAAAUUUAAAGCAAAUAUGGGCAGGUUCAUCCAGCAGGCUACAUUCUACAACAGGAAGAAGAAAAAGCUUAACAGCAGCCCAAUCUUUCGUCAAGGCAUUCGACCUCUACAGAAAUUGUGGGUGUUUAAUACAAGGUUUUAAGUUAGUUCGGCGAAGACGUAAACCUUGCUGUAGGGGAACCUAUUUGAUCACAAAGAUUCAUUCACAUAGAAGGGCAAUUAUGAAGAAUUCAACCACCGAUAAACAACAACUCAUUCCAUACCUACUGUUGCCGUAUGAUGCUAUCAAGAAGUGGUUGACUCUAAGAGAACAAGUGACGUGAUCAUCAAUUCAUUCCUCUACGUCUAGCUAUAGACACCAACUAAGCGCUUAUUGGGAGGCAACCCAAUUUUUCUAACUCUUCUUUUUAUUUCGUUUAUUUUAUUUUCCUGCUUUUAUUCUUAAUUAAAAAAUAAAAUUAAAAAUUGGAAAAUUAAAAAAAAUUGCAAUAUUUAAUUCUUGUUAUUUUUCUUUACUUUGUUUUGUGAUUGUAGGCUGCAUUCGGAACUGAUUCGGUCUAAUCUCAACUACGUGUGGAAUCAUACAUUAAUUGUUCAUUCACCAAUAUACAUGACCAUAUGAAAAUCUAUAAUACAUGCAUGAUUCUACAAUAGGGGAUCCAAGUGUGCAGAAGGGUCCAUAUAUUGCAGAUCAAGUUUUGCGCAGAUUUUCCUCAACAUUCAUAAUUAAGAGACAUGCAAAAUAAAUUUAGUCAUACAUGAUACAUGGACACAUAGACAAAUUCCAAAGGGCAGUAUACUGAUGCAUCGCAUUGUACACAGAUCCAGUGACUACCUUUCACAGAUUCAGAUCGAGAAACAACGGAAUAAGUUUGGGGUUGUUGGCUAUUUACCUUCCUUUUGGAUCUGAAAAUCGUGGACUGGACUCUGCCAAAAAUUUUCUUCCUCAAAUCAGUGUUUGAAUUCUCUUUGUCACUCGAGUUUUCUUAGGGAUAGAUUUGGACAUGCAUGAGUUAGAAUUUCAGAUAUCGUCAAGUGGAUACCAUAAUCACAGAGAAAAUGCACGAUGGUGACAAUCUGGGCUAAAAUCAAUGAUCGCCAUGGUUGGGUUCAGCUUUUGAUAGAGAUGGAAAUGAACAGAGAUACCGCUAUGAAGGCAAGGCUGGGUAUCUGUGUUUGGGUUCGACAAAAUCCAGGACCAUUGGAAGAUUUGGAAUGACUAGAGAGCUAGGUAGGAAUUUUUCAGGUCUUUGGUUAAAGAGAGGGCUACGAGAAAUGAGAGAGAGGCCUCUACUAUUCUUGAGAUAUAUCUUUCAUCUUCUAGAGAGAAGGGUUUCUAAAAAAAAAAAAAAAACCAAUCGGAAUUGAGAGAAAAGGGAGAGAGGGCUGAUGAGAUAAAUGAGAGAGAUAGAGAGCCGUAUGGGCUCUAGGCUCGAGGCAAGAGAGAGUGUAGCAGAUGCUAGGGUUUUUCAAUUGAAACAUAAAACUACUAAAUUAGCUUAUAUCUUAGCUGUUGUUCAAGAUUGACACAAGUGUGGACUCGUACGUGUUGGUCCGCGCGUCUUCACAAAACCCCUAGUCACGAGUUCGAACCCAGCGCCUGAUAGUUUUCUGUCCCAUUUUUUCUGUUUUGUUUCCAGCACCUUUCCC
rnacentral:lncRNA from 1 species